rnacentral:lncRNA from 1 species
AUUGUUCACUUGGUGAGGUUGCUAGGCCUUUUGUCCAUUAGAAUUUGCUACAGGUAGUUCAAUAGGCUAUGCACUCCAAAUAGUUGUUCUCCCUGGUGAUAAAACAAAAAAGUAUUCCUGCUGUGCAUCACCCCCUCUUCCCUCUUGGCAGGGUAGGGGGGGAAGGGUUGAGGCAAAUGAAUUACAACUGUGCUCUAUCCAAAUGCUUGUGGGGGGUUCUGGAGAAAAUCCCUCCCCGUGUGCUUUACCUGAGUCUCCACCCUCAGAUCUCCAGCUUUUGAAAGUAGCAUGGAUAGGGAAGUUGUUUUCCUUUCAAAGAAGGACAUGUAAUAAUAAUUUUUCCCAUGUCAGAGUGUAGAGAUGAUGCAUGAGACCAGAUUGAUGGGCCCAACCCACAAACCACUAUAUUCUGUGGGGAGGGAAUCUCUAAGGGGUAAGGCAGGGUUUUUCUACAUCUUGUCCCAUAACCCACUCUUGGGAUAGGGUGCUGAGGACUGUCCCAAGCAAUGGGUUGUGACAGUAGCCACAGGGAUUGUUGGGGGAAUAGCUACAGACCUCCUGCUCCUAAGCCUAAUCCCACCCCAUUCUGGGCUGAUAGGAUUUUAUUUAUUUGCUCCCUUGGACAACCGCACCUUGGGCCCCACUUUCUCCAGGAUGCCAGCUGCACUAGCUGUGUGCAAAUGACGUGUCCUGUGCAUUUUAACUUUUUUUUUCGUAAUACAAAUAUUCUGGUUUUUGUAUUUUUGUGUGUAUUUUAAUCUUAAGGCCCUCGUUCCUGCACUGUGUUCUCAGGUACAUGAACAAUCUCAGGGAUAAGUCGGCAGCAGCUCCAGGUCUGCACAGCAGGAAUUGUUGAAAUGGGGCAGAUGCAAUAGAACACAUUGGGUGAUGUGUGUCUGAUCCUGGGUUCUCGUCUCCCCUGCUUGCUGCCCCCCUCUAGUGAUUGUAUUUGUCUGGGUUUUGUAGGUUUUCAUGAAUAGCUGAUUGGGUGAUUGCUAGGUGGCCUGCUUUGUGUAAAUAUAAUGUGUUGGUCUUCUCCAUGUCCUUUUGGGGUUUUAUUGUUUACAAACUUUUCUGUAUUGAGAAAAAUAGCCAAAGCAUCUUUGACAAAAGGUUCUGCACCAGGAAAAGAAACUGGAACGUAGCUUGGUGACCCCUCUUAAAGUGUGGCGGCCUUGGACUAUCCUUUUGUAUUCCCUUCCCGUAUUUCCUUUUUUGGGCCAGAUCUUCUGUCCUAAAAACUUAACUCCUACCCUACCCUUCUAUCCCCCCCCCCUCCCAAGAAAAGGCCCCACACAUACACAUUUCACAUUCUAAAGAAGCGAAGAACACUUCCUCCCUUGUUCCCAAACUCCUGUGUCAAGACCAUUCCUUGAUGUGAUUCAUACUAAUAUACUUGUAUUUGGAUGAACAAACCUACUUUAAUCUCUCCAGGCUGAGGGUAGAGGGAAGCAGAAGCAACGAGGGGGGCCUUGAAUGUAGAAAGUAGGGUCAGGAGACCAAGAAAGGAAGAUGAAUGUAUAUCCAAGUCACUCAGGAACUUUUAUGCAGGUGCAAGAAACUUCUGUCAAAGUGGCCACAAGAUUGUUUAAUAGGAGAUGGACAAAUGUAACUCCAUGUUUACUGCUAGAAACCAAAGCUUUGUGAAAUCUUGAUUUUAUUGGGGCGAGGAGGGGGGUGGUAGUAGGAAAGCUGUACCUAUCUGUUCUUAACCUGAUCCCUUCCCCUCAUUUCUGAACUGCAGGAGACUGAGCCCUCUUGGGCUUUAGUGACUCCAUCUCUGGGGAAUGUUUAUUUGAUGGUUGAUGUUGCUGUGCCGGGUACUUCCUUUCCCACUUGAUAUUGUCUUGUAACACACAUGCUGACCCUUUUCCCUUCUCUCUUUACCUUGGGAAAAUACAAUGAAUAAAAACUUAUUGGUACUGGAAAAAAAAAAAAAA